UGGGGAAUAUUGCACAAUGGGCGCAAGCCUGAUGCAGCCAUGCCGCGUGUGUGAAGAAGGCCUUAGGGUUGUAAAGCACUUUCAGCGAGGAGGAAGGCAUCAUACUUAAUACGUGUGGUGAUUGACGUUACUCGCAGAAGAAGCACCGGCUAACUCCGUGCCAGCAGCCGCGGUAAUACGAGCGUGCAAGCGUUAAUCGGAAUUACUGGGCGUAAAGCGCACGCAGGCGGUUUGUUAAGUCAGAUGUGAAAUCCCCGCGCUUAACGUGGGAACUGCAUUUGAAACUGGCAAGCUAGAGUCUUGUAGAGGGGGGUAGAAUUCCAGGUGUAGCGGUGAAAUGCGUAGAGAUCUGGAGGAAUACCGGUGGCGAAGGCGGCCCCCUGGACAAAAGACUGACGCUCAGGUGCGAAAGCGUGGGGAGCAAAACA
rnacentral:rRNA from 1 species